rnacentral:ncRNA from 1 species
UGCUUUAAAAGGCAAAACCGCUGAGAAGUGGUGACGCAAAACCUCCGGUCCCCACCGGUUCUUUUCAACCUUUUACUGUAAAGGUACUGGCGGAUAGCGGGGCUGCAAGU